rnacentral:lncRNA from 1 species
AAAAAAUCAUGAGCUGGUGACAAAUAGAAAGAUAGGCCUCCUCCUCCUGGCUGACUUACAGGGUAGAAAACAUAGCAUGGCAUUCAAGUAUCUUUAAGAAGUAAAAGAAUAGCCAACUGCAAAUGACCUCAUGUUUUCCUGAUCCAUUUAAAAGACUGGUUUUUUAAUCUAUUUUCCAAAUGGCUUUUUAUGGUUUUAGAUAAUUUAUAAUCACCACCCACAAACAUCCAAUUAGCAUUAGAUACAUCUUUAGAUUUUGUUUCAAUUAGUAAAAUGUACUUCUGGAUGAGUUUGCCCCACACACUUUCUUGCCCUGAUUAUUAGCAUGCAUUCCACCUGAGGUAAUGAGUUCUUCCUGUACAUUUCUGUCCCUCCUUCCUCUAGCCUCACCUCACUCAGUGAAGUCAUCACUUUGUUAGGACAUCUUAGCAUCAGGCUCUGGACAAAGCUCAUGCUCUGCCCUUUAUAGGAUGAGUCCAUUCUUUGUGAAGUCAUAGCUUCUUAAUGUCUGUUGCAAAAAGUUAGAGGAAGCAUCAUGAUGAGGCCUUCCCAGGAAUAAUUUUAUCAACUCAGAUUUCCCCUCUUCAGCACAUCUCUGAAGACUUGCUAGGGGGUGAUUUUAGCUGAGAUCUCUAACAGUGUGUAUUCAGAACCUGAACUGGCCACCUCCUGUAGCCAGUCAGGACCCUCAGUGAAGGGAUAAAGACACCAACCCAUCCACAAAACUUUUGACCCCAAUUUUGUCUUGUCUACAAGAAGCAUAGGGACAAAGAUGGAGCAGAGACUAAGGGAAUGACCAACCAAUAACCAGCUCAACUUGAGACCCAUGGACAAGCACCAAUCUCUGACACUUGUUAUGUGUUAAUGGUACUCUGUUAUGCUUACAGACAAGAGCCUAGCAUAACUGUCCUCUAAGAGGCUCCCAUGAGCAGCUGACUGAAACAGAUGCAGAGCCAAACAUUGGAUGGAGCUUGGGAAGACUUAUGGAAAAAUUAGGGGAAGAAUCAGGGUCCUUGAGGGGAUAGGAACUCCACCGGAAGACCAACAGAGCCAAGCCCCAUGCACAUAGUAGCAGUUAUAAAGUACAGGCUUCAUGUGGGGCCCUCAACAACUGAAGCAGGAGCUGUCCAUAAAACUGUUUCCUGUUUGUGGAUCCUGUUCCCCUAACAAGGCUGCCUUGUCUGGCCUCAGUGGGAGAGGAUGUACCUAGGACUACAGAAACUUGAUGUACCAGGACGUGGGGAUACUCAGGGAGGACGUCCACCCUCUCAGAAAGAGAGGAAGGCAUGUAGUGGACCCCAUGUGUAAGGGAAUGGAGGAGGAGAGGGGCAAGGAUCAGGAUGUAAAAUAAAUAAAUAAGUUAAUGGGGGGAAAAGUU